rnacentral:rRNA from 1 species
CCUACGGGUGGCAGCAGUGAGGAAUAUUGGUCAAUGGGCGUACGCCUGAACCAGCCAAGUCGCGUGAGGGAUGAAGGUUCUAUGGAUCGUAAACCUCUUUUAUAAGGGCAUAAAGUGCGGGACUUGUCCCGUUUUGUAUGUACCUUAUGAAUAAGGAUAGGCUAACUCCGUUCCCGCAGCCGCGGUAAUACGGAGGAUCCGAGCGUUGUCCGGAUUUAUUGGGUUAAAAGGGUGCGUAGGCGGCAUUUUAAGUCAGCGGUGAAAGUCUGUGGCGCAACCAUAGAAUUGCCGUUGAAACUGGGAGGCUUGAGUAUGUGGGAGGCAGGCGGAAUGCGGGGUGUAGCGGUGAAAUGCUUAGAGAUCACGCAGAACCCCGAUUGCGAAGGCAGCCUGCCAAGCAAUGACUGACGCUGAUGCACGAAAGCGUGGGGAUCAAACAGGAUUAGAUACCCGUGUAGUC